UCCUGGGGCCUGCGGUCAUAUAUAUAUUACAUAAACAAUAAAAAAAUAUUUCAACGCCAUCUUUUGCGUAUAUGCGGGAAUAAUACCUCAAAUCGAUGUAGUGGUAUGUCAUCCGCUAUACUAAACGGUUUUUGGUUUUAUAAGUGACAGUGAUUUGAAGUAUUCUCAUUUCAAAGUCGAAGGUGGCUGUGCGACGGCAAAUACGUGAUUUUAUUAUAAUUUUCAAGGAUUAUAAGAUACUGAGGUCUACCAACACCUGGAUGAGUCAAAUAUUGACCUAUAUGAUGGACCUAUGGAGUUUCUUGCCGGUUCUUCUCCAUAGAUACUGCUUUCCGAAUCGGUGGUAAAUGUUAAUACUGUUAUGACGAUUCAAAAGUGCUUUUAGAAGAAGUCUAAUUGAAUAAAUAAAUGUUUGAGAUGAAGAUAAUCCCCCAAAUGAUACCGAUGAAGCCGCCCAAACACCAGAAAAUGAGUCUUCUUCCAUUCGUCCAAUGAGUAUGAGUCACGUCAGUACAGAAUCAUCACUAUGUAUGUCAUCUUCAGUUGUUGGCAGACCAUUUCGGGGACGCACAUGACGUGGACCAAGCAUUAGAGGAGGCUGACCAAGAGGAUGGAUUAGAAAUAAGACCUAGGGGUGGACGUGACAAUAUAAAUACCCCGCCGCGCCGGUGCAAAAUACUUGAACUGGUUAUUUCUCACCCCUAAAAAUACCUAUCUUUGAACCAAGUUACAAAAAAUAGAUACAGAACAAUAGAUAGAAUAAUAAAUAUUAGGUUUCAAGUUUAAAAAUAUAUAAUAACUAAAAAAACA